AAAAGCGGGAUUGAUGGUGAAGGAAAUGGGGGGAACACAGAACAUCUCAGGAUGGGGCAAUAUUUGGUGAGCACCAUAUUGGAUUCUACCAAAUUACAAAUAUGUUCCAGGUAAGAGCUAUGUCCAUUCAACUGCACUUUGAGAUG
rnacentral:lncRNA from 13 species